GCCUAAAUGCUGAAAUUGGUAGACAGAACAAACUUAAGAUUUGUCACCGUGAAGGUGUGUUGGUUCGAGUCCAACUUUAGGUA
rnacentral:tRNA from 1 species